rnacentral:rRNA from 1 species
CUACGAUCUGUAGCUGGUGUGAGAGGACGACCAGCCACACUGGGAUUGAGACACGGCCCAGACUCCUACGGGAGGCAGCAGUGGGGAAUUUUGGACAAUGGGCGCAAGCCUGAUCCAGCCAUGCCGCUUGCGGGAAGAAGGCCUUCGGGUUGUAAACCGCUUUUGUCAGGGAAGAAAUAUUCUGGGCUAAUACCUCGGGAGGAUGACGGUACCGGAAGAAUAAGCACCGGCGAAGUACGUGCCAGCAGCCGCGGUAAUACGUAGGGUGCGAGCGUUAAUUGGAAUUACUGGGCGUAAAGCGUGCGCAGGCGGUCUUGCAAGACAGGUGUGAAAUCCCCGGGCUCAACCUGGGAACUGCACUUGUGACUGCAAGGGCGGAGUACGGCAGAGGGGGAUGGAAUUUCGCGUGUAGCAGUGAAUUGAUUACUCAUGCGUAGGAACAUCGAUGGCGAAGCCAAUCCCCUGUGCCCGUACUGACGCUCAUGCACGAAAGCCUGGGGAGCAAACAGGAUUAGCCACCCCGUAGUCC